CUGCCCUCAAGCCCGGCUUGUGUGUUGGGCCGCCGUCCCCCGCCCCGGGGGACGGGCCCGAAAGGCAGCGGCGGCACCGCGUCCGGUCCUCGAGCGUAUGGGGCUCUGUCACCCGCUCUGGAGGCCCGGCCGGCGCCUGCCCACCCCAAUCUUUUUUAACAAGG
rnacentral:misc_RNA from 1 species